GCACGAGCAGCGCAUGCUCCUGGGUCCAGUCUGAUAGAGACGAGAUGGCGGCAGCAGCGUCUAAGAGGAUGAGCGUCCGACAGAGAGUUCCUGCUAAGAGCGACCGGGACCGGACCAGCCAGGAAGUCAGCACCGGGAAUGAAGUGAUGCAGUCCUGAAAAUCAAGCUCUUCACAGUCCUCCCAAAGCACACUCUGUACUGCCCUCCCUUUCCAGGACGUCCUCUCCAUAUUUGGUCCAGUCCAGUCAGUAUCUCUGAACCUACAAUGAAUCACUCUGAGAACUUGGCCGGAAAAGUAGUUUAGUGCACAUUCCAACGAGAUCGCUUCAUCCUGUUCCUCACAUGUUGGCCAGAGUCCAAGGAAACCCAACCUAACAGAAAAACAUCUGGUUUCUAGUUUUUCAGAAAAACAGAGAGGAAGAGAUGGACUUAAACAACACCACUGUGACAAAUCCUUCAGAACAUC